UGCGUGCAUAGCUCAAUUGGUAGAGUACCUGCCUUCCAAGCAGGAUGUUACGAGUUCGAUUCUCGUUGCCCGCACCAA
rnacentral:tRNA from 1 species